CAGCCGCCGCGGUAAAACCAGCACCUCAAGUGGUCAGGAGGAUUAUUGGGCCUAAAGCAUCCGUAGCCGGUUCUGUAAGUUUCCGGUUAAAUCCACUAGCUCAACUAAUGGGCUGCCGGAAAUACUGCAGAACUAGGGAGUGGGAGAGGUAGACGGUACUCGGGAGGAAGGGGUAAAAUCCUUUGAUCUCUUGAUGACCACCUGUGGCGAAGGCGGUCUACCAGAACACGUUCGACGGUGAGGGAUGAAAGCUGGGGGAGCAAACCGGAUUAGAUACCCGGGUAGUCCCAGCUGUAAACGAUGCAGACUCGGUGAUGCACUGGCUUUUGGCCAGUGCAGUGCCGCAGGGAAGCCGUUAAGUUUGCCGCCUGGGAAGUACGUACGCAAGUAUGAAACUUAAAGGAGUUGGCGGAGGAGCACA
rnacentral:rRNA from 1 species